rnacentral:rRNA from 1 species
UUAUCCGGAUUUAUUGGGUUUAAAGGGAGCGUAGAUGGAUGUUUAAGUCAGUUGUGAAAGUUUGCGGCUCAACCGUAAAAUUGCAGUUGAUACUGGAUGUCUUGAGUGCAGUUGAGGCAGGCGGAAUUCGUGGUGUAGCGGUGAAAUGCUUAGAUAUCACGAAGAACUCCGAUUGCGAAGGCAGCCUGCUAAGCUGCAACUGACAUUGAGGCCCGAAAGUGUGGGUAUCAAACAGGAUUAGAUACCCUGGUAGUCCACACGGUAAACGAUGAAUACUCGCUGUUUGCGAUAUACGGCAAGCGGCCAAGCGAAAGCGUUAAGUAUUCCACCUGGGGAGUACGCCGGCAACGGUGAAACUCAAAGGAAUUGACGGGGGCCCGCACAAGCGGAGGAACAUGUGGUUUAA